UGAACGCUAGCGGCAGGCUUAACACAUGCAAGUCGAGGGGCAGCAUGUCCAGCAAUGGAUGAUGGCGACCGGCGGAAGGGUGCGUAACGCGUGAGCAACAUGCCCUAUACAGGGAGAUACACCAGGGAAACUUGGUCUAAUAUCCCAUAGCAUUCAUUGAAGGCAUCUUUAAUGAAUUAAAGCUUCGGUGGUAUAGGAUUGGCUCGCGUGACAUUAGCCAGAUGGUGAGGUAACGGCUCACCAUAGCAAUGAUGUCUAGGGGUUUUGAGAGGAAGGCCCCCCACACUGGAACUGAGACACGGUCCAGACUCCUACGGGAGGCAGCAGUGAGGAAUAUUGGACAAUGGAUGGAAAUCUGAUCCAGCCAUGCCGCGUGCAGGAAGACGGCCUUAUGGGUUGUAAACUGCUUUUAUACGGGAGCAAUAAGGGUUACGAGUAAUCCGAUGAGAGUACUGUAUGAAUAAGGAUCGGCUAACUCCGUGCCAGCAGCCGCGGUAAUACGGAGGAUCCGAGCGUUAUCCGGAAUUAUUGGGUUUAAAGGGUGCGUAGGCGGCCAUUUAAGUCAGCGGUGAAAUUUUGCAGCUUAACUGUAACAGUGCCGUUGAUACUGUUUGGCUAGGAUUUGGUUGUAGUGUGCGGAAUGUGUGGUGUAGCGGUGAAAUGCUUAGAUAUCACACAGAACACCGAUUGCGAAGGCAGCACACUAAGUCAUUAUUGACGCUGAGGCACGAAAGUGUGGGGAUCAAACAGGAUUAGAUACCCUGGUAGUCCACACUGUAAACGAUGAUAACUCGCUGUCGGCGAUACACAGUCGGGGCCAAGCGAAA
rnacentral:rRNA from 1 species